rnacentral:tRNA from 1 species
UCUAUUUUGUCAGAUAAUAUGUACUAGAUUUAGGAUCUAGUUAAAUAGAGUAAAUUCUAUAAAUAGAAAAGCAAUUUAAGCUAAUUGUUUU